UAAACUAUACCUAAUUUGCAUUCAUACGCUAUAAGUAAUACUAAUGGCUAGUGUCAAAACUACCUAUAAAUGACUAAACUUUACCCAAUUUACAUUCCAACACUGUAACUAAUACUAUUGGCUAGUAUGAUCCAAACCGUCUCUGUCAAAACUACCUAUUGAAAUUGGUUAAGGCCCGCAAUGCGCAUUGCUUUCUGGGACUUCAUUGGAAGAAGAAUCAACCGGCGACUGUGGCGAGCCUCGCAGCGGAUGAAGUUAACUUCCAAUGGACGGGACAAAUUCAGAAGGCAGUGGUGUUGCAUCUUUUAUAUGCAUGGUUGUCCUGAAGUCAUUCUGGAACAGGGGUUGUGUUCAGGUGCGUGACAACUGACAACAUUGAGAAGACCCAGGAGCGGGAGAAGGGCAGCCUGAUGAAAGAAGGCGACAGUGUUCUGUGGUCACACCUGAGAUGAUGGUCCUGAAGAGGAACGAGAGGAGAUACUGGGCAUAUAAAUACAGGCACUGGUCAUCACAGUGGAGGACAAUCAUGAAAAGGUUGAGGACUUCACUGUGCCCAUCCCUGAAGUCCCUCCACUCGGUGCAGCAGCUCUUUCCACCAUACUGCCAUGCUCUGGGUUGUCCCUGCCACCAUCCACCUUUUGGGUCAUCCGUGCCCCCAGCCAUCACCGUGCCUGCAGCGCCUGGGUCAUCACUCCCCACCAUGCUGCCAGCCAUCACUGUGCCUGCAGCACCUGGGUCAUCCCUGCCACCAUCCACCGUGCCUUCAACGUCCACAGCACCUCCGGUCUCUGUGAGCCAGUUUGCAGCUCUACUGGCCUCUCCAGUAUACAGUAUGCUGUAAUUGCUAAUGGUUUCUCUGAGUGGCCUGACCGGUUAAUUGUCCCGUAUCCCAACUAUUUACCACUAAACAAGUGAUUUUGUAAUAAGUAGGAGAUCUUUGCAAUGUUAUCAGUAUGGUUGGACUCUGAUGUUUCACUGCUGUAUGUCUUCCUCAAAGAGUAAAACGAAUUCUGAGUAUUCUUGGAUUUAGUCUUUGAAAAGUAGAGCAGCCCGUUUGUU